rnacentral:rRNA from 1 species
AUUGAACGCUAGCGGGAUGCUUUACACAUGCAAGUCGAACGGCAGCGCGGACUUCGGUCUGGCGGCGAGUGGCGAACGGGUGAGUAAUGUAUCGGAACGUGCCCAGUAGCGGGGGAUAACUACGCGAAAGCGUAGCUAAUACCGCAUACGCCCUACGGGGGAAAGCCGGGGAUCGUAAGACCUUGCACUAUUGGAGCGGCCGGUAUCGGAUUAGCUAGUUGGUGAGGUAACGGCUCACCAAGGCGACGAUCCGUAGCAGGUUUGAGAGGACGACCAGCCACACUGGGACUGAGACACGGCCCAGACUCCUACGGGAGGCAGCAGUGGGGAAUUUUGGGCAAUGGGGGCAACCCUGACCCAGCCAUCCCGCGUGUGCGAUGAAGGCCUUCGGGUUGUAAAGCACUUUUGGCAGGAAAGAAACGUCGCGGGCUAAUACCCCGUGGAACUGACGGUACCUGCAGAAUAAGCACCGGCUAACUACGUG